GCCUUGUUGCUUGUCACCACGCCAUUUUCAUCUUGCUUGUUGCGAAAAACCCUUCAACAAGAGUCUAUACAUGAUUUCUCUCAAAGUUGUUGAGCUCUUCUUGCAUAGCCAAGACCCAAUCCUCAUCCACCAAUGCCUUUUCUAUCUUAUCUAGUUCAAUAGAAGAAACAAAAGAAAAAAGUUGACAAAAACUUGCUAAAUGAGAUCGAGUCAACACUCCCGUUCAUAGACUUCCAAGAAUAUUAUCGGUGGGAUGAUUUCUUUGAAUUGUUUGGCGUAGUCUUGGAUGCUUCACAUCUUCUUGAUCAUCAGCUGAGACUUCAUCUGCCUCAAGUUCAAGAAUAGGUGAGAGAUCAUGUCCUUGUACAUGUAUUGUCUCUAUUGCUGCGAGGGAGAGGCGGCACUACCACCUUGCUGGUCAGCAAUAGGUGUGGCCUGCACAUCUGCAUCAAGAGUGUCAGCGGAAGACUUUGCAGCAGCAUCUUGGGGAUCCUCCUUUUCUGUGUCUUUGUUCUCUUGUGGCCUGAUUUCUCCAGUGGCCAAAUGCUUAAUUGCAUCGCAUGGUGGAUCCUCCUUUCCUACAACACUUUCAUCAAGAUGCUCUACUUGAGAGCCGUGCGAUUGGCAUAUUCAUUUGAUCCAUAACAAGGAAGAAUACCCUCAUCAACUUUAGGUGCAAAUUUAGAAGUUUUGUGUAACACCCAAAAUUUUGAUUUCAAUAAAUAGGGAUUAAUUUGAUUUAAUUAAGUAAUUUUGUGAGCAUUUAAAUUUAGCACUUAAAUAAUUUUUGUGGAAAAUAAAAAUUUAUCAUAGGUACAAUAAAUAUGUUGGUGCAUUUCAUGCUGGUGCAUAUUUAGUUUUGUGUUGUUGCCUUUUGUUUGAAUUUAUUUGCAUUCAAAAUUAUAUUGGGAAAAAUGUUUUGGAAAAAGGAAAAAAGAAAAUAAAAUAAAUAAAAAGAAAAGGGGAGGAGCCCCUGGAAACCAGGCCGCAGCCCAGUUAACCCUCCCCCGCGCCUCCUUCCCCCUUGGCCCGCUAGCGACCACAGCGGCCCAGCUCCCUCGCCUUGGCCCGAAGCGCAGCAGGCCGGCCCGCGCGUGCGCUCUGUUUCCCCCCUCCUCUGACUGCCAGCUAGGCCCCGCCCUUUCUUUCACUGGCACCCCGGGCCCGUGUGGCAGCGCCCUGCUUCUCUUCUUCCCCAGCGCGACCCCGAGCCGAGUUCGGUGGAAACUUCGUCUCCAUCCCGAUUUGCCGGGAUUUCCUAGCCAAAAAUGAACCGAGCCUCUACAAAACUCUCAAGCCUUUCCCCGCGCUCCCCUAUUCCCUUAUAUUGAAGCCGUGAGGCCAUAUCCAUCGCCCA
rnacentral:lncRNA from 1 species